GGGCCCGCACAAGCGGUGGAUUAUGUGGAUUAAUUCGAUGCAACGCGAAAAACCUUACCUGGCCUUGACAUGUACCGAAUUUAGCAGAGAUGCUUUAGUGCUCGUAAGAGAACGGUAACACAGGUGCUGCAUGGCUGUCGUCAGCUCGUGUCGUGAGAUGUUGGGUUAAGUCCCGCAACGAGCGCAACCCUUGCCAUUAAUUGCCAUCAUUUAGUUGGGCACUUUAAUGGGACUGCCGGUGACAAACCGGAGGAAGGUGGGGAUGACGUCAAGUCCUCAUGGCCCUUAUGGCCAGGGCUUCACACGUAAUACAAUGGAUGGUACAGAGGGACGCCAACCCGCGAGGGGGAGCCAAUCCCAGAAAGCCAUUCGUAGUCCGGAUUGUUGUCUGCAACUCGACAACAUGAAGUCGGAAUCGCUAGUAAUCG
rnacentral:rRNA from 1 species